GCAGCAGUAGGGAAUCUUCCACAAUGGACGAAAGUCUGAUGGAGCAACGCCGCGUGAGUGAAGAAGGUUUUCGGAUCGUAAAACUCUGUUGUUGGAGAAGAACGUAUUUGAUAGUAACUGAUCAGGUAGUGACGGUAUCCAACCAGAAAGCCACGGCUAACUACGUGCCAGCAGCCGCGGUAAUACGUAGGUGGCAAGCGUUGUCCGGAUUUAUUGGGCGUAAAGCGAGCGCAGGCGGUUUCUUAAGUCUGAUGUGAAAGCCUUCGGCUCAACCGAAGAAGUGCAUCGGAAACUGGGAAACUUGAGUGCAGAAGAGGACAGUGGAACUCCAUGUGUAGCGGUGAAAUGCGUAGAUAUAUGGAAGAACACCAGUGGCGAAGGCGGCUGUCUGGUCUGUAACUGACGCUGAGGCUCGAAAGCAUGGGUAGCAAACAGGAUUAGA
rnacentral:rRNA from 1 species